rnacentral:rRNA from 1 species
GACGAACGCUGGCGGCGUGCUUAACACAUGCAAGUCGAACGGUGAAGCGCCUUCCUUUUUGGUGGGUGUGGAUGAGUGGCGAACGGGUGAGUAACACGUGAGUAACCUGCCCCCUUCUUCUGGAUAACCGCAUGAAAGUGUGGCUAAUACGGGAUAUUCUGGGUCUGUCGCAUGAUGGGUCUGGGAAAGAUAUUGUUUCGGUGGGGGAUGGGCUCGCGGCCUAUCAGCUUGUUGGUGGGGUGAUGGCCUACCAAGGCGGUGACGGGUAGCCGGCCUGAGAGGGUGGACGGUCACACUGGGACUGAGACACGGCCGAGACUCCUACGGGAGGCAGCAGUGGGGAAUAGUGCACAAUGGGCGCAAGCCUGAUGCAGCGACGCCGCGUGAGGGAUGGAGGCCUUCGGGUUGUGAACCUCUUUCGCCAGUGAAGCAGGCCUGCCUCGUUUGUGGGUGGGUUGACGGUAGCUGGAUAAGAAGCGCCGGCUAACUACGUG